CCGUAAUGCAGACAAUAAUAGGACAUGCAAAUGAUGCUAAGCAGGUGGCUCACUCUGAUUUGUCACGACAGGUGCACAGGUUCAAAAAACACCCCUUAGUUCUGGUAGAUAGAUAUAGAUUUGGAUAGAACCGGCACUCAAAACAAUUGGAAUAAGCGUGGAA